ensembl:lncRNA
GGGUAUGCAAGUUCUAUCUAUCCAAUAGGAACAUAUUUCACUGAAGUAUGCUGUAUUUCUGAAAAUCCUUAAAUUGCUAUCUGAGUACCACUCCUGAGUUGCAUUUUAUGAUUCCUAAAUUAUAUGAUGCUAUAGCAGAAACAGUGAUCUUUGUCUUAUUCACAGUCUUAGCCAAGACUGCUAGAAAGCAAGCAUAUGAAGUUUGAUACUCUAGGAUGAUAAUGUCAAAUCUUACUCAAUGAAGUUCCUUAAAAUUCAAUCCCCUGCCUUUAGUCUAUUACUAUUACUCUCACCAGUUACUAUAACUACCGUGACACACACAUGGACUGUUCAUCACCUUAUUUUGAGAUUCUCAAAUUUGAGAGAACUGUAAAGAUAUGAAAAACUGGGUAUUGGAGUUGAAAAGAUGAAAGGUUAUGACAUGUACAUUUCAUGAAAGUUAGUUUAGAACAAACGCUUCAUUUUCCCAAUGAAUCCUAAUUACAAAGUAGGUACUUUGGCACAAUAUUUCCCUCUUAACUGUUUGCUACAACACUGGGAGUGGAUGAAUAAUAGCGGACCUCAGAUGACUCAAUGGUCCAGGAGGACAAAUCUUUGUACAGAGGGGAACAGGGCGUAUUUCACUGCUAAGGGUUCCAUCUCAUAAUCCUCCUAGUUAAGAGGACUGUGGAUGCUCUCAAAGGCACAAAGGGAUAGCAUUCUGCCUAUUAAAUGUGCUUCUGCAUUAAUCCAGAAGUUCUUUGUUGAUAAACAGAUGCACAGCAACCACAUUUAAAUUUCAGAACCUUACAAUUAGAUGUAUUUGAAUAAAAAAGAAAAACAGGGAACCCAAAGCUAUUAAGUGGAGCUUUUUAAAGUCGUGGCCAGGUGCUAUUUCAACACAAACAUGUCAGUUCCAUCCCAGUUAAAGCAGAUAAAAUCCUCCAGUCUCUUCAAGAGUUGUGCUUGGACAACGAAAUGGGAAUUUUGUGUAGGGUUUUUCAGGUGUGAUGUUUUUAAAAAUUUUUGAGAAUAAUAUUUUCAAGGCAAUUGCUUUUGAACAGGGCAGCAAGGGGAAGCCAAGUUAGGUUAACAGAUCAACCAUAGAAAAUUCAAGAGGGUCCUUUGCUGGGUGAGAGGGAGUCUGUGGCUUUGCCAUGUGGUUGUGUGGCUCCACCAAGUUGCCCUGCCUGUUUUGCAGGGGUUUGUGGUGUAUUCACUGACACCUCAGUGGCUGCAGGCUGAGGAUGGCUCUUAGGCGGGCUCAGCCAGCUUGGCACACUCUCAGCUCUGGGAAGUCCACGCUGUUUUAACAAAGAGCAGGUGGGCGAAAAAGCUCAACACUGCAGGGCACGUUGCGCAGCUGUGAGAGGUGGAAUUCCCCUCAAAAGGAUCGGCACUGCUUUGAAAAUAAAUUCAUCAUUAAAACAGAAGGAUUUCUGAAGCAGUCGACGAACACAGGGCUUGAUUGGUUUCAAAUUAACUCUUUGUACUCAUCUUUCAUUCACCCCUUAAGAAGACGUCUCAGCGUUUUCCAGGGAGGUAACACAAAUAAUCCUUGACAUCUUUUCAAGGAGGAGAGUAAAAAGUUGGAGCACUCCACCACUGCAUCUGCUUUCCAUUCGCCCUGCAUCUCGCUGCUUCGAUGCGCUGUGGGGAGGCACCCAUGCUGCAGUGCAGGCGCUCUGUUUUGCUUCAUGUUCAGUAUUUAGGAAAAGAGGGGUGUGCUUCUCCCUGGACGGAGGGUCUAUGCUUAUCCUGAAGGCUAGGCAGUUGCUCCUUCUUCCUCCUCCUUUCCCUUUCUUCCCCUCUUUCUGGAUCUGUCUCUUCCUUCAGCCCCUCUCCCCCACACUGGCCCCCUCCCUGGGAGUUAAGAAUGGCCUCACUUCUGUUCUUCUUGCUACUAAUUUAAAGCCCUUCCUCUCCCUUGUGGAAAAUAUCUGAUAACGCCGUUUUCUCUGAGGGAGGCCAUUUGUAUAUCUUUCGACCACGAAUCCCAUAAACAAUUAAAUGCAGAGCAGGCUAGCCUGUGGAAACCUUUCUGGCUACUUAAGUGAAGUUUCCUAAUCCUUUUCUGCAGCGACCCAGGCUCUGGGGCCCAUUCAUCUGCCGUUGCUUCUCAAGCACUUUGAUCUCAGGCCUUCAUUACAGCUCAUUUCAGCAUUAAGGAUGAUCUGAAUUCAUGAGCUCUUCCCUUCCUAAUAAGUGCCAUUCAUAUCCAUCCUCAGGAGCAACCACAGCUCACAGAAAACUGGUUCAAACCACACGCAAAAGAAUAAUGGACUAGCUUCAAACACAAGUGAAAAACGGGGGUUUUAUUAGCCGAAUAAACCUCUGAAUGAGCUGCUUCAUUAAACAGAGGAGUCUCGUUUUCAGGGCGCUGUUAAAUCCACCAGUUGCCACUCUGAGAUUAGUAAGUGUGAUUACUUCAUUUUUUUUUCAGGUGGAAAUCCUGAGGUGGAAGAGAGACUGAAAUAUACUCACUACACCCAAUGCAGGCUACAGCUGAUCUGGGGUUUAUUUGGCUUCAUAGAUUUUUCAGCCAGAGACCGUGUUACAUAUCUUUCCUGUUAGAUUGUCUGGAGUGAUGCGCCACUCCUAAAAAGAACCUACUCUUUUUUUUUUUUUUCCUUUAAAAGGGAAAAAAAAAAACUAAUUUGGAUUCAGCUAAUACCCUUGUAACUUCUAAAGCUGUGAAGCCAAAAAAGGAAGAGAUAAUUAGAAGAUGAUGAGAGCUAGCACAUAGCCCGGUGGACGGAAAAAGAGGUACAGAGAAAGGUGGCAAACCUGCCACCGAGUCCAUUAACAGCCUUUGCUAUAAUUAUGUUUUGCUCUGGCUUUAAACUGGUGAAAGCACAAAGGAGACACUAUUAACGUCUUUUGCCCGCAGAAGAAAGUUCAUCCUGUAUACCCGCAUCCCCUACUAUUCACCUGUGUGGCCAAUGAAGUAAUCCUUCCACCAUUUCCAGACCUGUCCAGAAAAUCACUUCCAGUGAAAAUCAAGAUCCAAUAAGAUUUCAAGUCAAAUAAUAAAAAACAAUCAACAGAUACCAACACUGAAAUGACACAGCUGUUAGACUUAUUUGACAUGAUUUUUAAAGGAGCCAUCAUAAAAAUGCUUCAGUGAGCAAUUAUGAAAAUGCUUAAAACAAAAAACAGAAACUCUCUGCAAUGAAAUAGAAAAUGUGAAAAUGAACCAAACAGAAAUUUAGAAAUGAAAAAUACAAUAGCCAACAACAGCCAAACUCUAUGGAUAAGUUCAACAGCAGAACGGAGGGGACGGGGGAAGAAUCAGUGAACCUACAGAUCAAUCAAUAAGGAAAUAUCUGUUCUGAAAAACAGAGGGAAAAUAGACUGGGCAAAAAAGGAAAAAGAACAGAGCCUUAAGGACCUAAUGUAGAACUAUAUGUAAAAAUCUAAUAUUUCUGUUAGCAGUGUUCCAGGAGAGGAGGAAAAAAGAUUAAAAAAAGAUGAAAACUUCCCAAAUUUGGUAAAAGACAUAAGUCUGUAGAUUGAAGAAACUGAAUGAAGCUCAAAUAGAAUCUCCAAAGAAAUCUAUAUCAAGAUACAUCAUCUUCAAACUUCUGAAGCAAAGGAAAAACCUUGAAAACAGCCCAAGAGGAACAAAACCUAACCUACAGUGAGUGGAAAAAUGAUUCCAAUUUCCAUUUUUUCCAGAUGGAAAUCAAAACCUUUAGCUCACAAGAUCCACCCAUUAUGAAAUAUAGUUUUAUUCUACAAAGUGUUUCUUCAUUGCUGGCUCUACCAUAUGACCCAGCAAUUACACUUCCGGGCAUUUAUCCCAGAGAAAUGAUAACUUGUGUUCACAUAACAACCUGUACAUAAACGUUUAUAACAGCUUCAUUUGUCAAAGCGUCAAUCUGGAAGCAACUGAGAUGUCCUCUGACAGAUAAAUAACCAACUGUGGUAUAACCAUACCAUGGACUACCACUCAGCAAUAAUAAAGGUACAAACUAGUCAUUCACGCAACAACCUGGAUUAAUCUCCAGGAAAUGAUGCUGAGUGCAAAAGCAAGCCCCCAAAUGUCAUGUACUGUGUAAUUCCACUACAUGAAGUAUUUUUUUUUCUUUUGAUGGGGACCAUUUUUAAAGUCUUUAUUCAAUUUGUUACCAUAUUGUGUCCCUUUGAUGCUUUGGUUUUUUGGCCCUGCAGCAUGUAGGAUCUUAGCUCCCUGACCAGGGCUUGAACCUGCACCCCCUGCACUGGAAGACGAAGUCUUAACCACUGGACCACCAGGGAAGUCCCUAUGUGACAUUUUGAAAUGAUGAAAGUAUGCAAGUGGAGAACACAGCAAUUGCCAGGGGUUAGUGAAGGGGUACAAGCUUCCCUGUAGCUCAGAUGGUAAAGAAUCUG